CGUAGAAACCAGCUGCAAAUUGAAACAGCUCGCUGGAUGACACAGUUUCAGACUCAGACAGCCCACAACAAACUGGCUGCGUGUUUUCUUUUCAGCAUUUCCGAGCUGGCAGACAAACCAGAAACCUAACUAAAUGCAAAAAAUAAAAAGCUAAAAAAACACCCAACAAGUGAAAAAUUUA